UGGUAUCUCUCUCUUCGUGCGCCAUUCUUUGCGGUAGGGCUUUGGUGCCCAUCCGGUUUUGUUUUCUCUUUCUUUCCAACGUCAUCUUAGGUCUUCUCUAAGUGUUUUGUUUCCUGUUAGUUUGGUUUUGUCUCCGGUUUGUGGUUGUGAGGUUGUUUGGCCCUUAUUGGCACUAGUGGGGAGUGACAGCUAGGGUUAUCCAUUUUUCUACCCUAGCUUUGCAGCCACGUUUUGGGGUUGGCCUCUUUCACUUGUUUCGUUUCGCUUGUGGUGUUCCCCUACGUCUUCCUAUUUUACUGUCAUGUCCCUUCCAGAUCAUGAUCGGGAUGAUUUUGUUGAUUAAAUUGAGCGCUUCUUUGGGAGUCGUUUGGUCCUUAACCUACUCGAAGAGGCUAGUGUGGUUAUUGGCUAUUUAGAUAUCUCUGAUAGUUUUAUUGGCCUUAUCUAUAGCCCUGUGGCCAUGGUCUUUGUGGAUCAUCCUGUCAACAGUGAUGGCUUUAUCAAGAUUUUUUUGAAUGUUUGAAAAGGUAGUGAGGAGGUCUUAAUAAAUAAAAUAGAGUCCAA
rnacentral:lncRNA from 1 species